UACGUAGGGUGCGAGCGUUAAUCGGAAUUACUGGGCGUAAAGCGUGCGCAGGCGGCGCGUUAAGACAGGUGUGAAAGCCCCGAGCUUAAUUUGGGAAUUGCGCUUGUGACUGGCGUGCUGGAGUGUGGCAGAGGGAGGUGGAAUUCCACGUGUAGCAGUGAAAUGCGUAGAGAUGUGGAGGAACACCGAUGGCGAAGGCAGCCUCCUGGGCCAGCACUGACGCUCAUGCACGAAAGCGUGGGGAGCAAACAGG
rnacentral:rRNA from 1 species